rnacentral:rRNA from 1 species
AUUGAACGCUGGCGGCAUGCCUUACACAUGCAAGUCGAACGGUAACAGGUCUUCGGAUGCUGACGAGUGGCGAACGGGUGAGUAAUACAUCGGAACGUGCCUAGUAGUGGGGGAUAACUACUCGAAAGAGUGGCUAAUACCGCAUGAGAUCUACGGAUGAAAGCAGGGGAUCGCAAGACCUUGUGCUACUAGAGCGGCCGAUGGCAGAUUAGGUAGUUGGUGGGAUAAAAGCUUACCAAGCCGACGAUCUGUAGCUGGUCCGAGAGGACGAUCAGCAAGACUGGGACUGAGACACGGCCCAGACUCCUACGGGAGGCAGCAGUGGGGAAUUUUGGACAAUGGGCGAAAGCCUGAUACAGCAAUGCCGCGUGCAGGAUGAAGGCCUUCGGGUUGUAAACUGCUUUUGUACGGAACGAAAAGCCCCGGGUUAAUACCCUGGGGUCAUGACGGUACCGUAAGAAUAAGCACCGGCUAACCACGUGCCAGCCGCCGCCGUAA